UAAGCGAACAGUGCGCCGACCUGCGUAGCAUGCACUGUAACUUGUAAGUUGUGCAGUGCGCUGUUCACGAUUUCAUACCACACAAAGGAAUGACUGCAUGCGUCGCUGAUCUCCACAAAAUUAGCAACGGCGGAGCAAGGAAGCCAACUAAGAAAGAAGUAAUGAUUAUCGGCAAUGGCUUCUAUUUCCUGCAUGAAAUGUUUUCCAGGAGGAAAUGUAUACUGCCAGGGGCCUUGAGUAAUAGAAGUGACCUAGGCCUCUCUGAACCUCUAAGAGGCCUGUGACCAUCAAUAGAACUGUUGAUUCUCCGGUUAUUCUUCUCCUAUUCUUACUACGUUGUGACUACGCUUUGUUCCCAUCAGUCGUGAUGUGAUGACCCACCCCGGAUUUAGCGUGUUGGUCAAGUGCAAGUGGGACUUCUAUUGUCAAAGUGUCCGCAGUUGGUGGGAGAAGGUAUAUGGCGAUUCACGGUUCGCAGAGAAUUUCCGAAAUCCACCAAAUUUUCUAACGCACUUUUUGUCACUUAUAGUCUUUUAUAUUCUUUUGUGUGUGUUUUGCAGCCCGAGAUAAAGACGCCGUUUGCAAUCAGUUAUUUACACAACUUUUUCUUUCAAUGAAAUAUAAUUAAUUCACAGAACACAAAGAGAGAGAAAAAAAAAAGAAACUCACACUAACAAAAUCGGAAAAUCGAGCAAACAAUAACCUCAAAAUGAUGAUAGUUGACAGACACAUUUCUUAAAAAGAUUUCAGUGAUAGUUUACUCGGCAAAAUUACCAUCACUUCCACCACCUAUUAUGUUUGUUGUUGUUUUAAUUAGUUAAAGUGAUACAGUCAUGCGGGAGGUUGCUGGACAAUGGUGCCUUUGCAUUUACGGAACAAGCGGCCUAGAAUUUUUAGAUGAAGGCAGUAAGUAAAUACGUUAUUAAUAAAAAUGACUUAUCUGAAACAGA
rnacentral:misc_RNA from 1 species